rnacentral:rRNA from 1 species
CCUGCAUGAAGUCGGAAUUGCUAGUAAUCGCGGAUCAGCAUGCCGCGGUGAAUACGUUCCCGGGCCUUGUACACAUCGCCCGUCACACCAUGGGAGUCGGUAACACCCGAAGUCGGUAGCCUAACCGUAAGGAGGGCGCCGCCGAAGGUGGGAUUGAUGACUGGGGUGAAGUCGUAACAAGGUAAC